CUUCCGUUUCAGCUGUCACUAUGUGAGCCGAGCUCCUGGCAGUUUGGUGAGCAGGAGUAAAGCUCCCCAUGAUGGAAAACCUCAGCUGCUGUUGUACGGAAACCUGUGGAGAGCUUCUCCCUCAGUAUUUGGAGCCACCCACAACCAUGCCAGACCCUCCAUGACCACCGAAGAAGAGAGUCCAGUUCUCCCUCCACAAUAAGGUCUACUCCAUUGAGGACACCAAGGAGGGUACCUUGGAGAUUGACUCAUUACGUUGAUUGGAGAUUUUUCUAUAAAGAUUUCUCUAUAAAGGAAAAGAUUGGGACACAGACUCACACAGAGGAAGACCAUGUAACAACACAGGGAAGUGGCCGUCCAUGGGCCCAAAGAGAGGCCUCAGAAGAAACCAAACCUGCGGACACCUUGAUCUUGGACUUUCAGUCUCCAGAAAUGUGAAAUCGUGAAUUUCUAUUGUUGAAGCCCCCUACUCCGCGGGACUUUGCACUGGCAGCCCUGCGAGACUCACACACCUUGCUCAGCCCCUCAUUUCCCAAACACAUUAAACUAGAGAAGUUUCCUUGUUU